ensembl:lncRNA
GUACUACAGCCCAGCAGGCUCCUCUGUCCAUGGGAGUCUCCAGGCAAGAAUACUGGAGUGUGUUGCCAUGCCCUCCUCCAGGGAAUCUUCCUGACCAAGGGAUGGAACCCUCAUCUUUUAUGUCUCCUGCAUUGGCAAGUGGAUUCUUUACCACCAGCACUACCUGUGUCAGUUGCUUUAUCGCUAUGUACCAAGGAAUUCUUAAAACUUCAUGGCUUAAAAACAACUUCAACUCAUUACCUAUUAUGUGGAUUGAUUACAUGGUUCUUCUACUUCAUGAGAUGUUGGCUGGGAUCACUGGGAUGGAUGGAAGAACUGAAAUCCCCCCAAAAUGGAAGAUGUUAGCAUUCCUCAUUCUAGAGAAGAUCACGGUAUGAUAAUCUUGAGAAGCUCAUCAAGAGACCACCUGAGAGGCCAGACUGAAGGAACCAGAGAAACUCACUAGGAAGAUGCCACUUGAGGCCAGAUUAAAGAUGUGAACACACCCAAAUCCUUAUCAGCAAUUCCACCCUUGAACCAUUGCUAUAAAACUCCUCACCAAAUUCUCCAGAGUUGAGACACAAAAUUUUUGAGUCCACUUUCUUCCCCUGUGGCUCAGCAGAGAUGCAGUUUCAAUCCCUGAGCUGGAAUGAUCCUCUGGAGAAGGAAAUGGUAAGCCAG